UACGUAGGGUGCGAGCGUUGUCCGGAAUUACUGGGCGUAAAGAGCUCGUAGGUGGUUUGUCGCGUUGUUCGUGAAAACCGGGGGCUUAACCCUCGGCGUGCGGGCGAUACGGGCAGACUUGAGUACUGCAGGGGAGACUGGAAUUCCUGGUGUAGCGGUGGAAUGCGCAGAUAUCGAGAGGAACACCUGCGGCGAAGGCGGGUUGCUGGGCUGAUACUGACGCUGAGGCGCGAAAGCCAGGGGAGCGAACGGG
rnacentral:rRNA from 1 species